GCGCCUGGGUGGCGCAGUCGGUUAAGCGUCCGACUUCAGCCAGGUCACGAUCUCGCGCUCCGUGAGUUCGAGCCCCGCGUCAGGCUCUGGGCUGAUGGCUCAGAGCCUGGAGCCUGUUUCCGAUUCUGUGUCUCCCUCUCUCUCUGCCCCUCCCCCGUUCAUGCUCUGUCUCUCUCUGUCCCAAAAAUAAAUAAACGUUGAAAAAUAAAAAUAAAAAAAAUAAAAAAAUAAAAAAAUAAAUAAAAUCUCAAACAGCAACCACAAAAAACAACCUUUGGGCCCAGGACUUAUCCUCCAAGGCCCAUCGAGUUCCAAAAUUCCAUGAUUGUAUGAAUCCUACAUGUUAGCUCAUCCCCAUUGCAUUCUACAGUUACGGACUUUUGGAGCAUGAAUGUACCUUAGAAAUCAGCCAGUAUGAGACAUAGUUCAAGUCUUCUGCUUCUCUUCAGGGCUUCUCUCUGCUGUGGAGUUUAACUAGAGUCUUGGAUCAGACCUCUAACAAAUGUGCUUCAAAGGUCCUUGCACUCAUUUCAAGUAAGAAGACUACGAAGGCACUAACCGUAGACUUAGGAGAUCCGUGGACUGGAUUUCAACCUUUGCCACCACCAUCUGUAUGUUUCAGCAGGUCAUUUAACCUGUCAGAGUCUUGGUUCUUCUUUAGCGAAAAAAGGAUGAUAAUAUCUACCUUCCAUAAUUGCUGUUAAGCAUGGAAGAGAAAUUAUAUGAUAAGCAGGGCUUCUCAAACUUAAGUAUGCAGCAGAUGCACCCCCAGAGCUUGCCAAAACACAGACUGCAGACCUCCCCCUACUAACACCCGCAAUACAAGUUUGAUUCAGAAGGUCUGGGUAUCUGCAUUUCUAACAAGCUCCCAAGUGAUGCUGCCUUCUGGAGACCACACUUUGAGUAGCACUGUGGUAAAGCAUCUUGUGAAUUUAAAAGAUACCAUGUAAACACAGAGGUUAUUAAAAGAAGAAGAUUCUGGCUUAAUGCUUCCUCUGUCUGGGCUCCCGAGUAUAGAUACGUUUAAAUAAGUUCUCCAAGGAGGUACAAUAGUGGUUUUGACAAAGGAAUGAAUUCUGCGCAUUUUAGCAGGGGGGUUUAAAGGAUGACACAAUGAGC
rnacentral:lncRNA from 1 species